rnacentral:rRNA from 1 species
AUUGAACGCUGGCGGCAGGCCUAACACAUGCAAGUCGAGCGGCAGAGAGGAGCUUGCUUCUCUUGAGAGCGGCGGACGGGUGAGUAAUGCCUAGGAAUCUGCCUGGUAGUGGGGGAUAACGUUCGGAAACGGACGCUAAUACCGCAUACGUCCUACGGGAGAAAGUGGGGGAUCUUCGGACCUCACGCUAUCAGAUGAGCCUAGGUCGGAUUAGCUAGUUGGUGAGGUAAAGGCUCACCAAGGCGACGAUCCGUAACUGGUCUGAGAGGAUGAUCGGUCACACUGGAACUGAGACACGGUCCAGACUCCUACGGGAGGCAGCAGUGGGGAAUAUUGGACAAUGGGCGCAAGCCUGAUCCAGCCAUGCCGCGUGUGUGAAGAAGGUCUUCGGAUUGUAAAGCACUUUAAGUUGGGAGGAAGGUCAGUAGCUUAAUACGUUGCUGAUUUGACGUUACCGACAGAAUAAGCACCGGCUAACUCUGUGCCAGCAGCCGCCGUAAAAC